AGAGUUUGAUCAUGGCUCAGAUUGAACGCUGGCGGCAGGCCUAACACAUGCAAGUCGAGCGGAUGAGAAGAGCUUGCUCUUUGAUUCAGCGGCGGACGGGUGAGUAAUGCCUAGGAAUCUGCCUGGUAGUGGGGGACAACGUUUCGAAAGGAACGCUAAUACCGCAUACGUCCUACGGGAGAAAGCAGGGGACCUUCGGGCCUUGCGCUAUCAGAUGAGCCUAGGUCGGAUUAGCUAGUUGGUGGGGUAAUGGCUCACCAAGGCGACGAUCCGUAACUGGUCUGAGAGGAUGAUCAGUCACACUGGAACUGAGACACGGUCCAGACUCCUACGGGAGGCAGCAGUGGGGAAUAUUGGACAAUGGGCGAAAGCCUGAUCCAGCCAUGCCGCGUGUGUGAAGAAGGUCUUCGGAUUGUAAAGCACUUUAAGUUGGGAGGAAGGGCAUUAACCUAAUACGUUAGUGUUUUGACGUUACCGACAGAAUAAGCACCGGCUAACUCUGUGCCAGCAGCCGCGGUAAUACAGAGGGUGCAAGCGUUAAUCGGAAUUACUGGGCGUAAAGCGCGCGUAGGUGGUUUGUUAAGUUGGAUGUGAAAGCCCCGGGCUCAACCUGGGAACUGCAUCCAAAACUGGCAAGCUAGAGUACGGUAGAGGGUGGUGGAAUUUCCUGUAGCGGUGAAAUGCGUAGAUAUAGGAAGGAACACCAGUGGCGAAGGCGACCACCUGGACUGAUACUGACACUGAGGUGUGAAAGCGUGGGGAGCAAACAGGAUUAGAUACCCUAGUAGUCC
rnacentral:rRNA from 1 species